CCUACGGGAGGCAGCAGUGGGGAAUAUUGGACAAUGGGCGAAAGCCUGAUCCAGCCAUGCCGCGUGUGUGAAGAAGGCCUUCGGGUUGUAAAGCACUUUCAGUGGGGAAGAAAGCCUUGGGGCUAAUACCCUCGAGGAAGGACAUCACCCACAGAAGAAGCACCGGCUAACUCCGUGCCAGCAGCCGCGGUAAUACGGAGGGUGCGAGCGUUAAUCGGAAUUACUGGGCGUAAAGCGCGCGUAGGCGGUCUGAUAAGCCGGUUGUGAAAGCCCCGGGCUCAACCUGGGAACGGCAUCCGGAACGGUCAGGCUAGAGUGCAGGAGAGGAAGGUAGAAUUCCCGGUGUAGCGGUGAAAUGCGUAGAGAUCGGGAGGAAUACCAGUGGCGAAGGCGGCCUUCUGGACUGACACUGACGCUGAGGUGCGAAAGCGUGGGUAGCAAACAGGAUUAGAUACCCUUGUAGUC
rnacentral:rRNA from 1 species